CUUCACGCAGCGAGCACAAGCGAACUAUUCUUUAGCUUUUUACUAAAGAAUACUGUGUGCGUGCGUGCUGCAUUUAGUGGCAUACGCCUGCUUUUGGAGGGGAAUCUCUUUUCUUU